rnacentral:piRNA from 1 species
UGCUAAGCUGUCCUAGCAUGUGGCCAAGC